CGCUGCUACGCCCACGGCCUUCUCCUUCUCCCCCUCCCUGGUUCAGAUCCCCUUUUUGGGUACUCGGCGAUUCGGUCAAUUCGUGCUGCUGCAGCCGCAGAUCCACUCUUCUGUGUAUAGAUCCACCUGCACAGGCGGUGGCAAGUCGGGUUGCCCGAUGAGCAGAGGCGACACCCGUGGCCCAAAGCGGCAGCAGGGUGCGCUGGCGGCGCGACCCAUGGCACGACGGGACGCGCUUCCCCGAGGAGCGGCAGUGGUUGUGCUACUCGGUGGCUCCAACCCCUGAUGGUCCGUUGCGCUGCUUGUGGGGGUUGCUGGGCCACAACCGCCGUGCUCCUCCUCACCUCACCGGCCUAAUCCAGUGUUUGCAUUGAAGCCGCUUAUCGUUAUAUUUCUGAAUUAAAAACGAGUGUGGACAGACCUGCGGGGUAUACCAGUGUUUGAGGCCUUGUAGGCUUGCACUGAUGCAAAAUGAAAUGGAUGCUGUUGUUGAGGACUGAGCUGUGGGCUACCGUGGACAGAAUCUGCAGGCUGCCAUGCUCAAGCACGACGGGAAUGAUCCAUGGUGGGGCAUGUAGUUGGUAUUAGUUUUUAGUCUGAUAGUUGGGAUAGAUUGCUCUGAAAUGGAAGCAUAUUGAUUGAGGAAUAAGCAAAACCGUUGAACCAACCGUAGAGCUCGUUUCUAAUUUGGUCUAUGAAAGUAUAUUUGCUUUAUUACAUGGUAAUAUCUGUUGUUCAUUUUUUAGCAGUUAUGUUUCUGUUUUCUGAAGGUUUAUUCUAUGAUAUAUUACCAUAAGAUCUGUCUGUUUCAAGUUCGAACAACCAUUUAGCCAAGUAAAUUGUUUUUUCGGAUGGCUUCGUUGCUCAUGCAGUUGUAACUGAUCUAAAAUCUAUGAUGCAGUCUACCUCUAUUCUACCAUAAAAUCUAUUACUCAAUCGAUCGUGGUGUGUCUCCUGUCAACUAUUCUAGGGAGAACAUGCCUUCAGAACAAGCUUUUCCUUGUCCAAGCAAAGAGAUUGGAGGGUUUGGAGAAAGCAAGUAGAUUUUAAUCCACCUUGUUGCUUCGGUUAUGUAAUUCGAAACCAAUUGUCUAAUCACGUAGGGCAUAUAGGUGCUAGACUGCUAGUGCCACUCUGCUUGCGAGCUUGCUGCUCGUGGAACAUUAGUGAAAGUAACAAUAUUGGUCUCUACUAUUAUCUGCUCGCACGCUGAGAAUAAGGCUGGUGAUUAGUGAUUGCAGCCACAUAACUCCCUUGUUGCCUUCUUUUUAAUUGAUAAACAAAAUGUUUCAUAAGGUGCGUAUCUGUAUAUUGAGCAUAAUGGUAUCUUUGCAGGGCACCAUCUCUUAAGAGCCUUAGCCUCAUAUCUUGCUAUGAUGUCUCCAGUGAAGGGUUUGCAGAGGCAAUAGGAAGCUUCCUCUGCUCGAGGAGCUUUCACUUUCACUUUCUAGCAAUGUAUGUGGGCAGGAAGUGUUUGAGAUUGUUGGAAAAUCAUGUCCAUAACUCAAGCGCUUCAGACUCAGUAUUAUGGAUGUAAUAAAGGAAUUGAAGAAAUUUUAAUUUCUUUUUUGUUUUUUAAUUUCACAUACUUAACGGGUAUUACCAUAAUGCCCGUUACCUAUAAUUGUUGUUGGUAAUGGGUGUAUUGAUGCCCGUUACCGAUAUUCUAUUA